GACGGAGGGUGCAAGCGUUGUUCGGAAUUACUGGGCGUAAAGCGUACGUAGGCGGCGGGUUAAGUCGAAGUGUUAAAGCCUGGGGCUCAACCCCAGAGAUGCACUCGAUACUGGCUUGCUAGAGGGUGAUAGAGGAAAGUGGAAUUCCCAGUGUAGCGGUGAAAUGCGUAGAUAUUGGGAGGAACAUCAGUAGCGAAGGCGACUUUCUGGGUCACACCUGACGCUGAGGUACGAAAGCGUGGGGAGCAAACGGG
rnacentral:rRNA from 1 species